rnacentral:tRNA from 1 species
GAAAAAGAAGCUAUUGGAGCAUUUGAUUGUUACUCAAAUAUUAGCACAACAAGUGUGCCUUUUUCG